CUUUCAGUGGAGAAUCGAGCGGCGCUUGUUGCUGGCGCGUCUUAAGCCGCAGGUUCCCGAAUCGUUGCGAAGAAAGCGGAAGUCCUCCUCUCCUAACGCGUCAAUAGGAGUCUCUCAGUUGGUCUCCAACAAGACACACCAAUGACCAGCAGCGUCUGUCUCCUUUUCCCCAAAGAGAUUCCGAGAACGUUUUCUUGGCUGUCGAAGCACUGGCACCCGAGAAAAAUGACCUUGUCUCUCUUGCGCGAAGCCAGUUUACGAGGCCGUACAGGUACGGUUCGGCGUUUCAUUGAUGAAGGCGCCUGAGAGGUCCGCGUCGUGCGUCGGCGCCGGUGGGAAUGCGACAACACUAAAGGGUCUACGUGACCUCAUUGAUGACGCAGAGUACCCGAGAAAGAUUUGAGUGGCGAGGCAAAGUUUCCCGAGCUCCCUGUUGCUCUCUGUGUAGCAAGUGCUUGAGCUGGAGACAAGUGAAGUUGUUGCUCUUCUCUUGAAGUCGGACGGGGGACGAAAGGGGCAAACGCUUUUGAAAAACCAC
rnacentral:lncRNA from 1 species